rnacentral:rRNA from 1 species
GAGUUUGAUCCUGGCUCAGGACGAACGCUGGCGGCGUGCCUAAUACAUGCAAGUCGAGCGGACUUGACAGAGCUUGCUCUGUUCAAGUUAGCGGCGGACGGGUGAGUAACACGUGGGCAACCUGCCCUGCAGAUUGGGAUAACUCCGGGAAACCGGGGCUAAUACCGAAUAAUAUUGAAAACCUCAUGGUUUUCUUUUAAAAGGCGGCUUCGGCUGUCACUGCAGGAUGGGCCCGCGGCGCAUUAGCUAGUUGGUGAGGUAACGGCUCACCAAGGCGACGAUGCGUAGCCGACCUGAGAGGGUGAUCGGCCACACUGGGACUGAGACACGGCCCAGACUCCUACGGGAGGCAGCAGUAGGGAAUCUUCCGCAAUGGACGAAAGUCUGACGGAGCGACGCCGCGUGAGCGAAGAAGGUCUUCGGAUCGUAAAGCUCUGUUGUUAGGGAAGAAGAAGUACCGUUCGAAUAGGGCGGUACGGUGACGGGUACCUAACGAGAAAGCCCCGGCUAACUACGUGCCAGCAGCCGCCGCA